rnacentral:rRNA from 1 species
GCAAGUCGAACGGUCGCAAGACAGUGGCGGACGGGUGAGUAACACGUGGCUAACCUGCCUCAAAGAGGGGGAUAACGGUUCGAAAGAGCCGCUAAUACCGCAUAAGCUCCCGCCUAAUAGAGGGGUGAGAGAAAAGUUCCGGCGCUUUGAGAGGGGGCUGCGGCCCAUCAGGUAGUUGGUGAGGUAACGGCUCACCAAGCCGACGACGGGUAGGGGGCCUGAGAGGGUGACCCCCCACACUGGGACUGAGACACGGCCCAGACUCCUACGGGAGGCAGCAGUGAGGAAUAUUGGUCAAUGGGGGCAACCCUGAACCAGCAACGCCGCGUGGGUGAUGAAGGUUUUCGGAUCGUAAAGCCCUUUUGCAGGUGACGAGGAAGGACGGUAGCCUGCGAAGAAGUGUCGGCUAACUACGUGCCAGCAGCCGCGGUAAAACGUAGGACACAAGCGUUAUCCGGAAUUACUGGGCGUAAAGCGCCCGCAGGCGGUUGGGAAAGUGAUCGUUGAAAGCGCCCGGCUAAACUGGGCGAGGAGCGGUGAGACUACCCGACUAGAGGGUGAUAGAGGCGUGUGGAAUUCCGCGUGUAGUGGUGAAAUGCGUAGAGAUGCGGAGGAACACCAGAGGCGAAGGCGGCACGCUGGGUCACACCUGACGCUGAGGGGCGACAGCACGGGGA